CCUACGGGUGGCAGCAGUGGGGAAUAUUGGGCAAUGGGCGCAAGCCUGACCCAGCAACGCCGCGUGAAGGAAGAAGCCUUUCGGGUUGUAAACUCCUUCAAAGAGGGAAGAGCAGAAGACGGUACCUCUUGAAUAAGCCACGGUUAACUACGUGCAAGCAGCCGCGGUAAUACGGGGGUGGCAAGCGUUGUCCGGAUUUACUGGGGGUAAAGGGCGUGCAGCCGGGAAGACAAGUCAGAUGUGAAAUCCCGGGGCUCAACCGCGGAACUGCAUUUGAAACUGUUUAUCUUGAGUACCGGAGAGGUCAUGGGAAUUCCUGGUGUAGCGGUGAAAUGCGUAGAUAUAAGGAAGAACACCAGUGGCGAAGGCGGAUGACUGGACGGCAACUGACGGUGAGGAGCGAAAGCGGGGGGAGCAAACAGGAUUAGAUACCCCAGUAGUC
rnacentral:rRNA from 1 species